AUUGAACGCUAGCGGCAGGCCUAACACAUGCAAGUCGAACGAGUGGCGGACGGGUGAGUAAUGUCUGGGAAACUGCCUGGUGGCGGGGGAUAACUACUGGAAACGGUAGCUAAUACCGCAUACCAUCAGAUCUGCCCAGAUGGGAUUAGCUUGUUGGUGGGGUAACGGCUCACCAAGGCGACGAUCCCUAGCUGGUCUGAGAGGAUGACCAGCCACACUGGAACUGAGACACGGCCCAGACUCCUACGGGAGGCAGCAGUGGGGAAUAUUGCACAAUGGGCGAAAGCCUGAUGCAGCCAUGCCGCGUGUAUGAAGAAGGCCUUCGGGUUGUAAAGUACUUUCAGCGGGGAGGCGUUACCUGCAGAAGAAGCACCGGCUAACUCCGUGCCAGCAGCCGCGGUAAUAC
rnacentral:rRNA from 1 species